UACGAAGGGGGCUAGCGUUGCUCGGAAUUACUGGGCGUAAAGCGCACGUAGGCGGCUUCUUAAGUCGGUGGUGAAAUCCUGGAGCUCAACUCCAGAACUGCCUUUGAUACUGGCGAGCUUGAGUCCGGGAGAGGUGAGUGGAACUGCGAGUGUAGAGGUGAAAUUCGUAGAUAUUCGCAAGAACACCGGUGGCGAAGGCGGCUCACUGGCCCGGUACUGACGCUGAGGUGCGAAAGCGUGGGGAGCAAACAGGG
rnacentral:rRNA from 1 species